rnacentral:misc_RNA from 1 species
GAUGAAAACGUAGCGAAAUGCGAUAAGUAAUGUGAAUUGCAGAAUUCAGUGAAUCAUCGAAUCUUUGAACGCACAUUGCGCCCGCCAGUAUUCUGGCGGGCAUGCCUGUCCGAGCGUCAUUUCAACCAUCAAGCCCCGGGCUUGUGUUGGGGACCUGCGUCCGACGCAGGCCCUGAAAACCAGUGGCGGGCUCGCUGUCCACACCGAGCGUAGUAACUAACCUCGCUAUGGAGUGGCGCGGGCGCCUGCCGUAAAACCCCCAAUUUCACAAGGUUGACCUCGGAUCAGGUAGGAAUACCCGCUGAACUUAAGCAUAUCAAUAAGCGGAGGA